rnacentral:rRNA from 1 species
AUGCCCAUGGUGAGGAAGCAUGGAUGGCAACUCCCAGCACACACAUUCCAGAUCGUCGCAAUUACUGUUUUCUUCCUUCUGGUGGUUGCAUUUUAUGCCUUCUUUGCACCGUUUUUGGGAAAGCAAAUCCUUGAGUAUGUCGCAGUCGGUAUCUACACUCCUGUGGCAUUCGCUGUCUUCAUCCUUUAUAUCCGGUGCACUAGUAUAAACCCUGCAGAUCCUGGGAUCAUGUCAAAGUUUGACGAUGGCCAUGUCAAUGCACCAGAAAGUAAUACUGGCUUGCAGGGCACCAAUAUGCCUGCAAAAACUGGCAUUGGUACUGGAACCAACUCCCCAACAUCUACUUGUAGAAGCUCUCUAGAUGGGCGUACUAACCAUGGAGGUUUGGCUGCUGGAGAUACAGAUAUAAAUAUAAGAAUGCAACCACUAAAAAGAAGAUCAGGGUGCUACUUCGGAGGCUUUAUUUGUGCUUUCUUUGUUAAGGAGGAUUGCAGGAAGUCUGAUGAUUCAGAGAAUCAAGUUGAUGCAGAAGAUGCACUGUUUUGCACAUUAUGUAAUGCUGAGGUUCGCAAAUUCAGUAAACAUUGCAGAAGUUGUGACAAGUGUGUGGAUGGAUUUGAUCAUCACUGCCGGUGGCUAAAUAACUGUGUUGGACGCAAGAACUAUUUCACAUUUUUUGCUCUGAUGACUACUAGUCUCCUCUGGCUUGCUAUUGAAGUUGGAGUAGGCAUUGCUGUUCUUGUUAUGUGCUUCGCCAACACGAAUGCAGAAAAAAUUAUUCAAGACAAGCUUGGGAAUGGAUUAACUCGUCUUCCGUUUGCAACUAUCGUAGGAAUAUUUACUCUUCUUUCUCUAGUUGCCUGCGUACCUUUGGGAGAACUCUUCUUCUUCCACAUGCUAUUGAUCAGAAAGGGGAUCACCACUUAUGAAUACGUUGUUGCAAUGAGAGCUAUGAGUGAAGUGCCUCAAGAUGAGGAGGAAGAUGAGAGAGCAAACAUUAUUUACUCCCCAACAAAUUCAGCAACUAGUGGGUUCAGCGGCGGAAGUUCACUUGGUCUUCACUACAAGGGUGCAUGGUGCACACCUCCAAGGAUUUUUGUCGAUCAGGAUGAAGUUAUCCCACAUUUGGAGCGUGGCAUGGCACCAUCUACCGUCGACCCUGAUGCCACUGGACAUGCUGAAAGGCCAAACAAAGCCAAGAGGCAAGUCAAAAUCAGUGCCUGGAAACUUGCAAAGCUGGACGGCAAUGAGGCGAUGAAAGCUGCUGCAAGAGCUCGGGCAUCAUCCUCCGUCCUCCGGCCCGUAGGUGCGCGCGGCCCUGGCUCCACUGGCAACUCGCAUCCUCAGAGUAUCGCGAGCCAGGAUGACUACGAGACCGGCACGCAGAGUGCUAGCAGUUUGAGCAGCCCGGUCCACAUCCACAAGCUUGCACCUCGCACCCAGAUGAAUGUGCCGCCGCCUCGACCGCCGGAGGGGCCUGGUUUUCCAACCACGCAGGCAACAACCAACCCAAUAAUGUUCCGGUCGGCAACAUCCUACGCUCGCGAGAACCAUAGAGCGUCGGUUGUUUGGGAUCAAGAUGCUGGUCGGUAUGUGUCUGUGGCAUCCGCACCUGCAAGACCAGUGGGAGCUGCUGCUGGUUCUUCUACUAGAGCGCCACGUUUCUUGGAAAACCCAAGUGGUGGCAGAAAUCUUGCGCCAAUGAGUGCCGCUUCCUCGGCAUUACCAUCUGGACAGCCAUCUGAGAGACUGGCCUACUCUGGACAGUCGAUAUUCUUGGGCGGGCCGGUUCUGGGUGCUGCUGCUGAAUCUCGAACGAAUGAGGCCAACACAAGAGCACGGCCGGAUGACAGUGGGGAGCUCAACGCCGAUCAGCACCAUGCAAGGGGGAGUGGGGAGAGGGGGCCAACGGCCGAGUCUUUCCCGGCGGGAACAUUUCAAAAGAAACCACCAUUCAACAGGUGA